AACUCAUUCUUGUUUGAACUUCUAUGUCUUCUCAAACUCUUAUUAUGUUGUUGUUUUGUUUUGAUUUGCCAUUAUAUUUUUGUGAUUAAGCCACUUAAAGUUAGAAUUAUGAAUCGUUAUAAUUUGUGACUGUGUAUGCCUCUUAAUUAUGAAUUGUUAUGAUUAGGUGUAGUUUUGUGUUGUUGAUGCCUUGGCAUAACAACUAGCUUCCUUUUCAUCUCAUGAUAACAUUCACUUUUCUGUUGACUUAUAAUUUGUUUGCUAAUUGGUUUUUGCCUUUAUUAUUUGUUGAUGUGUAAGGUUGAAUUGUAGACAAAUUGACAAUUUUGCAUGAUUUUUUCCCAUGCACUUUUCUCAGGAAUUUUCUUUUAGAUGUUGGUGACGAUUGAUAACGAAGUAUUAGGGUAAUAAAACUUUUCUUAUCGUAUGACACCCUAAAAAUUUUAGUGCUUCAUUAUCAAUCGUUAUUAACAUCUAAAAGAAAAUUCUCGAGAAAAGUGUCGGAAAAAAAUAUGCAGAAUAGUCAAUUUGACAACAAUUCAACAUCACACAUCAAUAGAAAAUAAAGGCAAAGACCAAUUAGCAAAAAAAUUAAAAGUCAACAGAAGAGUGCAUGCUAUUGUGAGAUGAAAAGGACAAAUCUGCACCCAAUCAUAACAAUUCAUAAUUUCAACUUUCUGUGGCUUAGUAACAAAAAUAUAAUGCAAAUCAAAAUAAAACAACAACAUAAUAAAGAGUUUGAGAAGACAGAGAAGUUCAAACCUGUAUGAGUUGUGGUCUUGCAGUUUUCAGAGGCAGAGAAGUGAGGCUGCCAAACGAUGGAAGUUGCGUUGAGGAGAGGUGGUUGUGUAUGGGUUUUGUGACGGAAACUUGAGUUAAGGAAAAAGAAGGGUUCUGGUUCUCCAAGAGUCGAAGGAGAACGAAAGGCAAGGGUGAUUGCACCGACAAUGGAGGUUGCGGUGAGAAGUGGCGUGCGGUUGUGUAAGGGUUUCGUGAGGAUUCUGACUUUUGAGUUCAAUAGCUAGACUCAUUGAGUCUGACCAGGUCAUGUGCACACCCGUUUCAACAUGUGCCUUCAAUGGUGGGGUACCCUAGUCCCGGGCCAAAGGGUCGACCCCUCUGAUUACUAUGGAUUGAAGCAUCAAAAGCUCUAUCUUCUUGUGUUUGCUCGUUACAACUUAAGGUUGUAAAGAAGGAAUCAGUUGAAGAAGCAAAAUUAUGAUCCAAUCAAUUUUGAAGUUGUUGAUGACCAUGACCAUGCUAAUUGAGUAUUAGAGGAGUAACAACCAUUUUUAACUAAUGAGGAGAUCAAUGCAUUACCUAAUGACCUUGUAAAUAUGUCUAUCCAGCCUAUUUCAAACAAUAUUGAUGGAUUACAUUUGGAUGAUGAUGAACAUGGUGAUGCACAAGAGAAUGCUAUGGAGGAUGUGAACCAAAAUGAAAGCAAUGUUAGGGAAAGUUCUGAUUUCAUGGAUGGAGAGCAUAUAAGAGGGCCUGAAUUUGACGAUGCCACUUAAACUCCUUGGACGUAUAUACAUUAUUUGCUAUUGUAGUUGUUUGGAAUUUAUUAUGUUUGAAACUUUAUUUGUGACUUAUAUACAUUAUUUGCUAUUGUAGUUGUUUGGAAUUUAUUAUGUUUCAAAUUUUAUUUGUGACUUUCUUAUGUAUGAAGACCUUAUUAUUUCUUGAAUUAUGAGUUAUGUCUUGCAAAUG